GCCGGUGCCGCCUCUCUCUCCAGGUCCCCAGUUAAAGCAAUAUUUUAACAAAAGAGAUUUUUCUUUUUUUUCUUUUUUUUUUUCCAAGUUCGAAAGAACCCGUGUUGGGUGGGUGGCGGAGGGAGUCUGUAGGGUAACAGGCGCCUUCUCAGACUGGGAGCUGAGCACCUGGGGGUUUGCACCGGGACGCCGACUGCAGCUCGGGGGCAGGAUUCAGACGGGGGGGGGGGCGGGGAGGGGGAAGGAGCGAAGGCUCGGGGGGCUCGGCUGGGGGCGCGGCGCGGGGUAGCCGGGUCCGCCAGGCUCCGAUUCCGAGGGGCCAGGACCGUGCCCACCCUCCUCCCGGGCUCCACCCCGGCGCCAAGCCGCUUGCGGGGCCGAGCGCGCGGGGCCGGCCGUCCCGCGUCCCCGGCCGAGCGCCGCGCAACCCGACCGGCACACCGAGCGCGCUCACCGAUCUUGGCUUGCUCGCGGUAGCUCUUCUCGUUGAGGCAAACCCCGCGGCCGUGCAGCAGGGCGUGCAGCGGCUUCUCCUCGUCCUGCCGGGGGAGGCAGCGCAGCCCCUGGGCGCAGCGCUCCGUGUAGACGCCGCACGACUGCCCCUCGGCCAGGGCGCAAGUCAUGCAGCAACCGCAGCCGGGCUCUUUGACCAGCUCGCAGCCCAGGGGGCUGGGGGGGCACAUGGAGAGGGCUUUCUCGUCGCAGGGCUCGCAGUGCACGAAGGAGCCCAGGCCCUGGGCCGGCCCCGCACAGGAGGCCAGCAGCAGGAGGACCGCGAGGAGCAUCUGAAGUGGGGUCCCCUCCCAAGAAGGAGCCUUGCUGCUUUCUCCUCCCUUCACCUGUCUUCUCCAGAGCAAAUCAUGCUUCCCUCGGGAGAGCUGAAAAGAGCAUGGAUUUUAAGCAGUGUGGCCUUCAGCAAGUUGCUGUGA
rnacentral:lncRNA from 1 species